rnacentral:lncRNA from 1 species
UCCCAAGCACAGAAGGCACCUGACUUGUCCAAGGUCAGACCAAAUGCACCUGAACCAAGAUCUACUGAAAUCUACUGAAAUCAAUAAAACAUUUUCUGCAACUUCAAGGCAUGCCUUCCAGACCAAGAGCCAGCAACAACUGGUGGCUGAGCAAGGAAAGGACAAGCUCCCUCGGACUGCUGGAACUUCCCAGGCCAAAACUAAUAUAUUCAAUCAAGGCAAGAGGUGGCUAAAGCAGACUCUGGAGCACAGACAUCAUGCAUUCACAAGGGAUAAAUCUGGUCAUAAUGUCCAUGGGUGUUGUUUCUCAUCAGGUAGAAGAUGCAUCUUCAUAAGGAGGGUGCUGAAAGAACCUGACGCUGGGAGGCAGAAGCCUGACUGAAAUGACAAGGUCUGCGUCCACAAGGAUUCUUCAGAAUCUCCCCAUGCCAGGUAACAAACAAAUAAACCCCCCAAAGUGCUUCUGGUUACUAAUGAUUUCUUGAGCAUUUAGAAAUCCAGCCAGAAUGAGAUUAGAAGCCCAACUAGGCCUUUGGAACAAAGACAGACACCCUUAAAGGGCAAGAUACUCUGCUUUCUCUGCUGAUUACAACCCCCAUCCAGACAACAUCACCUCAGCCUCCUUCAGAUCUGGUUUCAAAUAUUUUCUUCCCAUCUGUGUUCCUUUCUCAGGUAACUCUGUGCAUUGCUGCUGUUAAUGGAUUACACAAAAUAGUGUGUAUUGUUAAUGUAGUAAAGACUCUCCCAUCCAUAUUUCUUUCCAAGGACCCCAAUAUAAAUGAAGAUUGCUCCCCCUAAGCCAGAGAAGAACAAUCCUCAUAUAUUCUCUACAGGGCUAUUUUAGCUCAUUCAUGAAUUAUCAUAAUAUAUAAAAACAUAUGUAAAAAGUAUUGGGUAAAAUGUCUGCCUGACUGGAGUCAAUGGCAAAUCUCCCAUUUACUCUAAAGGGACAAAAUUUCAUCCAAGUUCCAAAAUGAACAUUUUCUGCUUACAUUUUCUUGGAUAUAUAUAUAUAUAUUAGACAGAUGCUCUGUGUUUGCUCAACAGUUAAAGAAAAUUAUUCUUUUCAUGCAAAAUCCUGUCUUGUUUCCCCACUAGAAAAUAGACCUUGAAUAAUUUCUUCAGAAAAUAAUACCAAAUUGUCAGGGUUUGUACCAUCUAAUCUGGAUUUGGCAUAACUAAGUGAACUCGCUGGCUCCUAGCCCUGCCAUUAAUAGUAACAGCACAGUUUGGGACUUCUCGUUUGGUUUUCCACUCGUACAUGUGUCUGUGUCCAAUUUCAAACACAGUUAAUCAUGAAGCAAGGAAUAAACAACAAAGUGGAAAGGUUGAGGAUGGGGAAAUGCAUUGAAACUCCUCUCAGUGAUUAAAAGGGCAAUGACCUGAGCACAAUGGCGAUCAAACUAGAGCAGAAAAAUGUGUUCAGAGAGGAUGCCUAACCAUCCUGGCAGCAAUGCAUGCCUUGUCUCUCACAGCUUUCUGCUGCUCCUCCACAUGGGUUGCUGCCCUGCAGCCACAGAACAAGAUACAGAACAGCAUUUCAUCUGCUCCAUGCUUCCUGAAUUAACCUCAAUUGCCUCAAUUUGCAGCAAUAAACUGGGCAGUGAAUCACAACAGGCUGGGACAUAGGCAGGCUCCUGCCAGGAGCUGCCUCUGUCCAGGACAUAGAGGACAGGCAAGUACAGGGGCGAUUAUCGGAGGAUUGCAGCCAGUUCUCCCAUGCACUCAAGUCACAGGCAGCAACAUGGCAUAUCCAAGGACAUCAAACUGCUGCUGAUCACAGGUAAAAAACUCCCCAAGAGUUGAAGAUAACUGGAAAAGUAAGUAUCUUUGGGGGGAGGAUAAAGGGUGUUAAAAUUCUUUCUUGGGAGACUUUGAUUUCCUACUAAAUUACUCCUCUGUGAACUCAUGCCUGGCUUUCCCUCUGCCCAUCAAUUAAUGUAUUAAAAAGCCUCACCAGAGUGCUGGGAGAUGCAAUUCCCUCUUCAAAACCUACAUUUAAAGUAGCCAUUCAAUGCAGGGAACUUUUGUAUGCCCAAGUACAGAAGCCACUUCACAUUUUUUUGAUCUCUCUGUUAGAGAGACAAAAUUCUUUGGCUAACAUCUCAGCCUGGGGAUUCUUUCCCUCUUUGAAGAAACACAGAGAAAAGGCAAAGGUACAAAAAUGAGAAAAUGGUUCAAACUGGAAUUUUAAACAGGUGUCUAGACAGAACAAAUAUGAAUCCCUGGGUUCAUUGCUUUCUGAGGUGGGAAAGGACACAAAAGAAAGAAGUACAUUAAUGCAAUUAGAACAUUUCAGAAUUAAUUGAAACACUCAUCCCAGCAUGCCCAGCAAAGUCUCUCUGGCUGUCUCACCCCAAUAAAUAUUUACUGAUUGUAACUGAUUAUACUUUGACAUACAAAACCACUCAGUGUGGUAGAAAUCACCUCCCCUGUUAUGACUAGUACAGAUUCAAGGCACAAAUGUGACUCUAGAAUUUGCUUAAGAGGGCUUAUGACCAGAAGUGCUGGCAGAGAAGACAUUUUAGAAAAUGCAGCCAUAAGGACAAUGUAACUUUUAAAUUUCUUUGCCAGUGUAUGCUGGGUGGAUUUAUUUACCUUUGGUCUAUGAGGCAAGACUCAAGACUUAUCCGUUUGCUUAAAUAUUUACAAAGGGAAAAGAGGAAAAGUUAGGGGUUUUACAGAGGAAGCAUUAUAGUAUGAAGUUUGGGAGAUUUGAUCCUAUGGCCCUAUGUUGGGGGUUGAGUGUUUUCUGUUANAAUGCAAAAGGAUAAAGAGACCCGAUGUAUGCCCCAAGGAGACCUUGUUCUAGAGUGAAUUAUCUAUGAUACAGUGCCUGUAAC